AUGACGGCCCGGACUGCGGCGGCGACGCCAUGGCGAUGGAAUGACCCGUCCUUCUCGUCCCGUGCCACCUGCAGCCCGACUUUCCUCCCCUCCAUGAUGAGGCGCGCGUUCGGCCAUUGGUCCCCCUGGAUGGGCAGCAUCACGAGCGGGUGCCCGAACAGAAGCCCUUCGAUGAGCGAGUUCCGGCCGCAGUGUGUCAGGAACGCCCCCACGGCACCGUGCGCCAGCACGCUCAUCUGA
rnacentral:rRNA from 1 species